GAAAAGUGAAAAGUGGGAUUUUUUGUCAAGGAACCAAAUAUUUUCCUUUGACGUAAUCAGUUCUGCAGGAUGUGGAAAUGGGAGUCUGCAUGUGUAAAUAUUUAUCAUAACAAACACAUCCUCUAUAGGCUGAUGCUAUAGAUGAGUGUGAAAGCCGCAUUUCCAGCAGCUGAAAGUAUUUCCUCUCUCAGGUGCUGUUCCUACACCAGAAUAACAACAAAAAAAUGUUCUGAUUCAUUCCCCAACAUGGAACUUUGCAUGUUGGAAGUAUAGAACUUGAAAUUUGACAUUUUCACUAUGUUGUCGUUAUUUAAAAAGCUUCUUUUAGUUUUGUGCCCCCUUUAUUUAAGGAAAAAAAAAUCACUUCAUUUUGACCCAUAUAUGCAUUUGUAUUCUCAUAAAUCAGCUUUAUGGUAUGGUGGGAAGUGAAUUCCCUGUCUGACAUCCAGAAGCAAUAAAUACAAAAAUCUCACAGGAUUAUCUUGCAGGAGGUGGAGAAUUUCAGCUUUUGUUAUUCCCUUGUGAGGAAAUGCUGAAUAAAAGGAAAAUCUGAACUACCUCUGCAGAGGCCUAAUGGAAGACUCCGUAAGAAGUGCAUUAAAAUGCAUUGUGAGAGGCAAAAAGCCUGACCCAAAAUUCUUCUCUUAAGAUAUUAAUGAAUGGUUCUAUUCUCCAGGUACUCAGUGUUUAAAUCAUGGAAUAUCUGGAGUUGGAAGGGACUCGGAAAGGCUCUGGCCAUGUGUGGGACACUGCCAGCGACAGCCUGGUGGCAACACUCACUUCUUGAAAGGCAGGAAAACAUAAAAAUGUGUGAAGAAAUAUCCAAAAUUUCAGCUUGUGGGAAGUCAGCACAAGAAGGGCUUAAGUUAUGUCCAGUAGUGGGAAUGUUGGGCUGAACAAAGUUCCCAGGGUUCAGAGGAGAAACAGCAAACUCUGAGAAACAGUCAGAAUAAUCAGGCUGGAGAAGAUGUGGGAAUUCUCUUGUGGUAGGUUUAUCCAUGUAAUUCCAGAGAUUUCGGUGGUGACCUGCCUGGCAUAAACCCUGUGGGAAAAACCAGAUCCAGGAAAUGCUGAGGAAAUGCAGAGGUGCUGUUACUCAGUAAGACCAGCUCAGGGUCUGCUUUGAGCUGGUCUUACUAAAACCAGUUUUGAUUUAUUGCUCUGUGUCCCUAGGUAAGAAAAUAAUUUCCAUCUGGGAUAUGACAGUGGAAGAAGCGGGGUGGGAUGUGGGACGAAAGGAUAUUUCCGAAGAAAAAGGAAAAAAGGGACAAAACCACCUCUGAAUAUGCCCCAAGCCUGCAAGUGCCACAGGAUUUAUAAAUCACUUAGAUCUGGGUAGUUUGAAACUAUUUGGGGGACAAGGGGAUUGAUGGGAAUUUGUUUGUCUGUGCUCUCUGAAUGCAGAAAUUCACUUCUCUCUUUGGAAUUCAUUUGGAAGCAAAUAUUAAUAAGGAAGAUUUUUACCUGCAUCACUCUGAAGCAACAAAUCAUUGAAUACAAGAACCUGAAAGGAGAUCUCCAUGGUGGUUACAUUAAGAAACAAAAGAACAAAGUGAAGCUGUGCCUGUGAAGAAAAACAAUAAAAGUUAUUUCAGCAAAGAGAGAAUUUGAUUUUGAUUUCUGAGGUUAUGCAAGAGCUACAGGAGAAGUGGGACAAGGAUGACAAGGAGGAGGUCGAUAUCCAGAGUUCAAAGCAGAUUCUCCCAGCUGUUCCCAUGCUGGCAAAGAAAACCACGGAUCUGGAGGGCCUGCUCCAGAUUGGAUUCCUCGCUCUCCUCCAUCCCUGGGCUACUUUCAAGACUCAGUUAAUGGCAAAUAAUGUUUUUAGCAGGUACUUUUUGGACAUCCUGCUUGCAUGUCAUUUUUAUUUGCCGCUCCUACACCCGGUACUCAAUGCAAAUUUUAUCCAUUUUUAAAAAGAGCUGGAAUAUUUCAGUAUCAGCUGCUUUCUGGGCUGACCCUGAGUGUAGGGUUUGUAUCAGGGGGACGAAAGGUCUCCUGAGAUGAUUAAAAAGGGACCCACUGGUCAGGGAGCAUUUCUGAAUCUCUUAUGCCAUAAUUAUAGUAAUGUGCAUAAUGCCUCAUAUGCAUUAAACAUUCAACUGGAACGACUCUGAAUGUGAGAGCAACCAUAUAAUAAAAGGAAAAAAACCUUUACUUUAAAUAAUACAAUUUAAAUAUUAAUAAUUUAAGUAAUAGACAUAGUGUGUGUUUAAGUGUGUCCACUUAACCAUGCACUUGUGAAUUAUAUAUUUAUAUAUAGCACACAUCCCAUGUGUAUUUAAACACUUCAGCUUUCCACAUGGGCUAAUUUGAAGUGCAUUGCAUUGGAUUAAUUUUUAACAUUUCAGUUGCAAAUAAUGAUAAUUCACAAAUUCAUAUUGCAGUAUAUUUGUGUUGGUAAUUGAAAGCACUGCCAAGCUUGGCUUAAUCCUUGGAGUCACAGGAGAUUGGUAUUUCCAGCAAAUGUAAAGAGGAACUUCCAAACUCUUCAUCAUUUAUCAAAGAUUUCCUGGUUUAGCUGAAAAAACCCCAAAGUUCCUCAACUGACCAGAAGAACAAUCACAAAAGUGAGCUUUUUGUAUAAAAGGAGGGAAGGAAAAGGAAGGAGAAGAUCCCCAAAGGUGCCCAACCCUCUUUUCCCAGCCCACCACGCUCCAGCCGUGCUGCCAGAUGUUGCCAUCCAGCUGCUCCAUCCAGCUCCAAGGAAAAACCCAAUUAUCUGUGCGUGUGUGGCAGCUUCAUUAACACAAGCACAGCCGAGCGUGACGAGGUUUUAUCUUUUCCAUGAGUGGAACUGUAAUGCCAGGGCCAUCAGUGUCUCUUUAGCACAAUGUCUGCUCCUGUUCUACACAGCUACUCCACCCCAGCCCCUCACUCCCACAGUUUGUACCCAGGAGGAGCCUUUCAGUGCAGGCAGCACUUGGGAACCCUUUGGGAUGACACUGAUGGGAAAUGAGAGCUGCUUUUCCAUCAUUUCCUCCCCACCCUGGUUCGUGGUGCUUUCCCUCUGAGCUGCCCUAAGCGGGUACUUCUCUUCAGCUGCUGUCAGACUGCAACAGUUCCAACAAAAUUCCAAUGGUUCCAAAAACUAAAGCUCAGAAAAGAAGAUUUCCAGUGCAGGACUUUGUGUCUUUCAGGCAAGGCUUUGUGCCUUCAGUGGGGAUUUUCUAGUGGGGUGUGCAGCAGGAUUGUGUCUGUAGGAACCCAGAGUGCCGAGAAUAUUUCUCUGCCUAUUUUUAAGGGUUCUU